UGAGUCUCUGUAGGUCCUCUCGAGUAAUCCAUGAAUCAUCAGAUUCUGGUCGACUCUCCCAGUGAACCAAAUAGCAUUGGUACCCUUUGUUCCGGGUGGUGAUAGCUUGAUCAUCCAAGACAUGUUCAACCCUAUCUCUCGGUUCUGGAAAUGUGGCUGGAGGGCACUCAGGUGUGGGUUCACUCUCAAUGGGAACAUGAUCAAAAGGCUCACUAGGUAUCAAUGUUGGUCCCUUAUACUCUAUAAGGUUCGAGAUGUUGAAGGUCGAGCUAAUACCAAAAUCAAGGGGUAAGUCAACCACAUAAGCGUUAGGUUCAAUUUUCUUUAAUAUCCUAAAUAGACCUGCACUGCGGGCAUGCAAUUUUUU
rnacentral:lncRNA from 1 species